AUCUGCAGCUCCUGCCCCCACGGAAGGCUUCUAACCAGGGCAGCAGCGCGGCUCCACACAGCUGUUGUUGAGAUGGAGAGUUUUAAUUGCCUCUGUGUCAAGAUUUAUUAAACAACGCUUCAGAGGGGCAAACCUAUAAUAGUCAUAUUAGUAGGCGGCUGAAGAAAGGAAAUAAUUGGAACACAGCAUCUUUGCCUUGGAAGGCAACUCAGAAAAUAUCUUUUCCUCGUGAUCAGCCACUAGCUAUCCCGGGAAAAGAGUUUCCAGGUAAACACAAGCCACACAAGUCCCGUUGCCUCCCAGAGCUCAGCUGUGAGUCCCUCUAGACAUUCACCUAGAAGCACUCCUUCCUCUGAGUGGCUUUCUCUUGUCCCCACACUCUCCCAUCCUAUUACAGCUGGAGGCGAGAGUCACUGCUCUGCCCCCAAGGAAAGGGCUGUCCAUGUGCUGGCCUGCCCUGUUUCUGUUAGCCUCUGUAAUAGCUGUAUUCCUAUGAUGUCUGGCCCAUUCAUGCAACGUUGUGGGGGCGUCUGAACCUCCCCAUUUGACUUAAUGCAGCAAUGUGGAUGAGUACUGUAUCUUUCCUGCCUUGUCUGCCUCGGCAAGAUGCCUGAGAGGCUCUUCUGCUAAAAUGGGCUGGGAAGAGCAUCCCUUAAUAGCCAGUUCCCACUACCCAAGAGAGCUAGGAUUUGGGCUAGAAUCUCAAUUGUGUUUUGUGUUUUUUAUUUCAAAUAUUCCUUUUUAAAGAGGCUAUGAAUAGGAGGCAUGAACUAGCACCAACUAUGGGUGCUGUGUACUAUGUCUUCUCUCUCUCACACACACACACACACACACACACACACAC
rnacentral:lncRNA from 1 species